rnacentral:rRNA from 1 species
AAGGGCUGUCCUUAGUACGAGAGGACCGGGACGGACGAACCUCUGGUGUGUCAGUUGUACUGCCAAGUGCAUCGCUGAUUAGCUACGUUCGGAUGGGAUAACCGCUGAAAGCAUCUAAGCGGGAAGCCCGCUUCGAGAUGAGAUUUCCAUGCACCUUUGUGUGUGAGAGGCCCCCAGCCAGACCACUGGGUUGAUAGGCCGGACGUGGAAGCGGGGACUAAAGACCCGUGAAGCUGACCGGUACUAAUAGGCCGAUGACUUACACCA